rnacentral:rRNA from 1 species
UGGGGAAUUUUGCACAAUGGGCGCAAGCCUGAUGCAGCGACGCCGCGUGAGGGAUGAAGGCCUUCGGGUUGUAAACCUUUUUCGCUCAUGGUCAAGCCGCAGCUUUGGGUUGUGGUGAGGGUAGUGGGUAAAGAAGCGCCGGCUAACUACGUGCCAGCAGCCGCGGUAAUACGUAGGUCCCGAGCGUUGUCCGGAUUUAUUGGGCGUAAAGCGAGCGCAGGCGGUUAGAAAAGUCUGAAGUGAAAGGCAGUGGCUCAACCAUUGUAGGCUUUGGAAACUGUUUAACUUGAGUGCAGAAGGGAAAGGUGGAAUUACAUGUGUAGCGGUGAGAUGAGUAGAUAUAUAGAGGAACACCGGUGGCGAAAGAAGCUCUCUGGUCUGUAACUGACGCUGAGGCACGAAAGCGUGGGGAGCGAACAGG